ensembl:lncRNA
AUGGAUCCAAACGUCUCUGACUCCACGUUACAGAAGACUUCGCCAAACCAGGAUCCAGCAGCCUUAAGGAAUACAUCAAGGUCAGUCAUGCAUCCAGUAGCACAACUUAUGUGUCUACGUCAAGGAGAUUGGCCCAUCGAGGACUAUGUGAUCGACUUUGUUGAACUGGCUCAUUUAACAUCUAUGGACGAGAUGUGCCACAUGAUAUUUUUCAGGGAAGGGCUUGCUGAACCGCUGCAAUCGAUCAUGCCAUUGCACGAUCCAAGCUGGACGCUGGAGUUUUACAUAGAUCUGGCACUUCAACUAAGUGGCUCUCCGUUCACUGUGGGAGAGGCAGAGGACAGCGUUGAAGCCCCAAAGAACUUUUUUGGGGGGGGCCAACAUUGUCAAGCGCAGUCGGCAAUGGAGCUUGAACCACCAGCGCCCCUGCACGAGAUGGCCGCCAGCCCGGCGCCCCUGCACGAGAUGCACAAGAUGGUCGCCAACCCAAAACCACUGUACAAGAUGGCACCCACAGGUGAUCGUCAAGAGCAAAGUCGAGUCGCCGCUGAUCUUCCAGAGUCAGGUCAAGUCGCCGCUGAUCUUCACAAAUCAGGUCAAGUCACUACUGAGCUUCCAGAGCCUGGUCACGUCUCAGCUGAGGUUCCAGAGCCUGGUCACGUCUCAGCUGAACUUCCUGAGCCUCGUCUCAUCCUGUCUGUUGCGCCAAGCAAUGUUCUCUCAGCCUGUUGUGUUGCUGUCAAGGAGACAGUUACUGCUGUGGAACCUCCAGAGGUGGCGGCAACUGCUGCAGAACCUUCGGAGGUGUCAGUAGUAUCCACCCACAAACUCACGGCCUGUCCUGUCACGGCCAUGGAGGCCAUCCACAAACUCACCGCCUGUCCUGUCACGGCCACGGAGGCCGUCAUUAACCUGUUUAUGUUCUCUGUUUCAGUCCUACCUGACCAGACUGGCUCUCCUGUGGCUCCUUCUCCUAAAUGCCCUCCCUCCCACCCGCUCCUGCCUCCUCCACCUCUGUCGUCUGGCAGUCCCUCUGCUCGCCCUCAGCCCAUCAUCAUUGCUGUGCGAGCUCCACGGGACUUCCAUCCUCCAGCAUGGCCGGAGUCUCCCUCACCUACACCUUCAGCCUCCAAGGCCUGGACUCCGCCUCGGCCCGUUGACCCGUCGGCUCCACCAUGGCUCCUAGCUCCCUCCUCUCCGCCAUGGCCUGGCAGUCCACAAGCUCCGCCUGGCUCCCUCGUCCCUCCGGCUCUGCCUUGGGCUGGCGUCGUCCAUCCUACGCCUCAGUACUCCACUCCUCUGGCUUCGCCUCGUCCCUCCGGCUCCGUCAGGCUCCUUCAUCCCCUCAGUUCCACCUCAGUCCUCUGUCGCUCUGGCUCCACCACGGCCUUCCAGAUCCACAUCUCCGGGGAUCUCCUCCUCCACCUGCUCCGCCGCCAUUGCUCGGUCCCCUGGAGUCGGCGGUUAUUCCUCCUCCAUGGCUCCUCCCACCAUCUGCUCCACCUUGGGCCAUUAAGGCUGUGGCCUGGGUCCAGCUAG